AAGUCGUAACAAGGUUUCCGUAGGUGAACGUGCGGAAGGAUCAUUAACACGUAUCCAACGUUAAAACCCCCCCGUACCUUCAGUGUGCUCGUACGCUUUGUUAGAAAGUAGCAAUGCCUGGUAAAUCAUCGCCGAACAGUUUUGAUUCAGGGACUUCUGCGAAGUAGCGCGAGGCAAGUGCAUCCUUGUCUGAAAGUGUCAAGGUGGCGCAGUCACGAUCGCUAGAGGCCGAUACGCGGCGACACCGGCUCACGCCCCUUAAUAACCUUUGCAUGAAAACGGCUGCGGUUAAUUGUGCGGCCAUAAACCGAACAACUGUUAACAAUGGAUAUCUUGGUUCUC
rnacentral:misc_RNA from 1 species